rnacentral:rRNA from 1 species
UACGGAGGGGGCUAGCGUUGUUCGGAAUUACUGGGCGUAAAGCGCACGUAGGCGGCUUUGUAAGUUAGAGGUGAAAGCCUGGAGCUCAACUCCAGAAUUGCCUUUAAGACUGCAUCGCUUGAAUCCGGGAGAGGUGAGUGGAAUUCCGAGUGUAGAGGUGAAAUUCGUAGAUAUUCGGAAGAACACCAGUGGCGAAGGCGGCUCACUGGACCGGCAUUGACGCUGAGGUGCGAAAGCGUGGGGAGCAAACAGG